rnacentral:rRNA from 1 species
GACGAACGCUGGCGGCGUGCUUAACACAUGCAAGUCGAACGGAAAGGCCCUGCUUUUGUGGGGUGCUCGAGUGGCGAACGGGUGAGUAACACGUGAGUAACCUGCCCUUGACUUUGGGAUAACUUCAGGAAACUGGGGCUAAUACCGGAUAGGAGCUCCUGCUGCAUGGUGGGGGUUGGAAAGUUUCGGCGGUUGGGGAUGGACUCGCGGCUUAUCAGCUUGUUGGUGGGGUAGUGGCUUACCAAGGCUUUGACGGGUAGCCGGCCUGAGAGGGUGACCGGCCAAAUUGGGACUGAGAUACGGCCCAGACUCCUACGGGAGGCAGCAGUGGGGAAUAUUGCACAAGGGGCGGAAGCCUGAUGCAGCAACGCCGCGUGCGGGAUGACGGCCUUCGGGUUGUAAACCGCUUUCGCCUGUGACGAAGCGUGAGUGACGGUAAUGGGUAAAGAAGCACCGGCUAACUACGUG